rnacentral:rRNA from 1 species
AGUGAACGCUGGCGGUAGGCCUAACACAUGCAAGUCGAACGGCAGCACAGUAAGAGCUUGCUCUUACGGGUGGCGAGUGGCGGACGGGUGAGGAAUACAUAGGCAUCUACUUUUUCGUGGGGGACAACGUGGGGAGACUUACGCUAAUACCGAAUACGACCUACGGGUGAAAGCAGGGGAUAUUCGGACAUUGCGAGCAUGAAUGAGCCGAUGUCGGAUGAGUUAGUUGGCGGGGUAAAGGCCAACCAAGGCAACGAUCCGUAGCUGGUCUGAGGGGAGGAUCGGCAACACGGGAACGGGGACAGGCCCCAGACUCCAAGGGAGGGAGCAGGAGGGGAUCAUUGGACAAUGGGGGAAGGCCUGCUCCAGCCAGACCGCGUGGUGGAAGAAGGCCUUCGAGUGGUAAAGCCCUUUUGUUGGGAAAGAAAAGCAUCAGGGUAAUACCCCGCUGUUGUGACGGUACCCAAAGAGUAAGCACCGGCUAACUUCGUG